CGGACGGGUGAGUAACGCGUGAGGAACCUGCCUUUCAGUGGGGGACAACAGUUGGAAACGACUGCUAAUACCGCAUAACGUACUGGUAUCGCAUGGUACUGGUACCAAAGAUUUAUCGCUGAGAGAUGGCCUCGCGUCUGAUUAGCUAGUUGGUAGGGUAACGGCCUACCAAGGCGACGAUCAGUAGCCGGACUGAGAGGUUGGCCGGCCACAUUGGGACUGAGAUACGGCCCAGACUCCUACGGGAGGCAGCAG
rnacentral:rRNA from 1 species